CUGCUGGUCAGUAGAGACGCCUGUGCGGGCCGUGACGCUGUCCUUGCACUGGAGGUCCUGUCCUCGGAAGGCUAGCCUCGGUUUCCUUAGGUUUAGUUGUUUGGGGGAGGAGACCAAACAGCGAGGUCAUCGGUCUCAUCGGAUUAGGGGAAUGAAGUUGGCCAUGCCCUUUCAAAGGAACCAUCUCGACAUUUGCCUGGAGAGAUUUAGGUAAAUCAUGGAAAACCUAAAUCAGGAUGGCCGGAUGUAGGAUUGAACCAUCAUCCUCCAGAAUGAUUUGAUAUGUUUGCUAGACAGGAAGUUGCCUAUCUGUUGGAGAGUGUAAUGAGAAACUGAAAGAUGUGGGUGGAUCCACUCCCUACACUCCAAUAUGGCAGGCUGUACCAUGUUGCACCAACAAACUUCCAAGAGAUCAUAGGUGCUGGGUAGAUAUUUGAGCAUCUGUCAACUGGAUCUGUGUUGUGACUGAUAUUUGUGAAUUGUUAGGCAAGACUGCUAAAGACAGUGUUAUUCAGCACAACUGCAUGCUUCUCUCUCUCUCUCCCUCCCCCCGUUUUUAUUAAGUAUGCAUCAAUUUUCCAAUACAUUAUGUAACUUUAAACCAGUAUGUAUUUUUUUUAUCAACUGUAAAUGAAUCUUCUAGGUCUUUAUGUGUGUAUGUUAAACAAAUAGUGUGGUAAACAUUUACUAAUGUAGACAAUCUAAUGAGAUGUAUACAUGUCUGCUUUCACACGCUGAUUUUGGUCCUCAAGCUAUUGGAUUGUGUCAUCAUUCAAAGCUAAUUUAUGACUGUUUACCUAUAGUUUUUCUGAGUAUUGCAAUAUUGUAUCUGAUUGGGAUUUGAGUUGUGGACAUAUUCAUUCUGUUUUGGGUACCCCUGGUCUUCGUGACUCUCUCUCUCUCUCUCUCUCUCUCUCUCUCUCUCUCUCUGUGUAUGUGUGUUGUGCGUGCGCUUCUUACCAUUAUUCUUUGCGUAUAGUUGGACCUACUGAUAAGAUUGUGAGGUUUAUUCAUUUAGUUGUGACUGACUUGUACCCAGUCAGUGUGGAUUGAUCCCCACAUCACAAGCUUAGGCCCUGAUAUUUUUCCAUAAUUUUGUUCUUUCAUAAGUCAAUAUAUCCUUGAAUACUCUGGUUUAUGUGGCUGAUUGAUUCCUACUCAUGAUUGAGUGUAUUCUUCUGGUCUGUGCCUGUCAUUGUGAUUUUUCGGGUCAGCUCACUCAUUGUAUACUUAGGCUCUGAAAUUUUUCUCUUCUCUUUUGAAGAUUUUGAAUAGUAAUUUACCUUGUCUCUAUAUUUAUUUUUAUAGUUUAAUGGUGUAAUGUUGUAGUUUUAACCUUGUAUUAUUUGACUUGUCACAGUAUGUUCCAUUUGCCCAGAAAUAUUAGUGCCAUAUCCUGAUGUAUGUAUAGAUUAUGAUUUUUGUAGUAGAUAUUUUUCAUGUGUUUUCUGUAAUAUUCUGUGUAUUAGAUGCUUCUGUAUAUCUGUCCAUUAUCCUGAGCAUCAUUUUGUACUCUGUUUGGCAAACCUUAGUCUGUCACAAAAUAUUGUAAACACACUGUUUCCAAAAUUUUGUGAAGCGGAAUUGUUAUGGAACACCCUUUUUCUAGCAUAACUUUUUUUUUUUAUAGAAGUAGCCAAUAGCAGGAUUAAUCCUGAAUCUGGUAUAGGUGAACAGUCUCAGCUUUUUCAAUGAAAGAAUUUCAUUUGAUUUUGUAUACGUAGUAUUAUAUUUCAGGCUAAAAUGUGUAACAAGAAAUUAAUUUAUUAGUACUCUGUAGGUAAGGCUAGAAUUAUUUUUCUUUUAGAAAUAUCUGGCAUACUUAAAAUUCAUAUUAUUGAUUGCAAAAUCUAACAUUAAUUAUUAAAUUUAUUUCUGGAUUCAUUUAUAAAAUAAUGUUAUAUCUCGGUGAUGAUCCUUCCCUUGUCAAGAAAGUUUGUACAUUCUUUUCCUUUGUAAACUCUUUGGAAUAUUGUGAGUAUCACAGAAUGCAGUAGUAGAGGGCAUGCCUCUGAUGGAGAUAGAUAUAUUUAUGUGAUUGACACUAACAAUGUAAUUUGGAAUAUUAAGUGGAAAUUAUAAAAACAGUGUGAUAUUUAAUAAUGUGACAAAGAAUAAAAUUCAAGAAAUAUAGAGUCAAA